GUCAGCUGUUCACAUCAGGUGGCCAAAGUACUGAAGCUUCAGCAUCACUCCUUCCAGUGAAUUUUUACCACUGCUCUACCUGGGAAGCUGAGUUUACUAGAUGACCUUAAUAUCAGAAUGAAGGCAAUAAAAAUCUGAAGAGAGAAAGAAAACAUUUUUUUUGAUAGCCUCAGAUUAUAUGAGGCAAUUUCAGAAGAUAAAUGGGGUCCUGGAAGGAGAAGAGUGAGGUAAUGGUGAAGGGAAAAAAACCUGAAAGAUACUGGGGACUUCCGUAGUGGUCCAGAGGUUAAAAAUCUGCCUGCCAGUGCAGGGGACAUGGGUUCAGUCUUUGGUCUGUGAAGCUUCCACAUCUACUGAGCCCAUGCUCUAGAGCCCACAAGCCACAGUGCUGUGCUACACAACAAGAGAAGCCACCGCAAUAAGAAGCCCGUGCGCCACAAUGAAGAGUAGCCCCUGGUCACCAAAACUGGAGAAAACCCCCACAGAACAAUGAAGACCCAGUGCAGCCAAAAAUUAAGUAAAUAAAUAAAAGUUUAAAAAAUAAUACUUGCAGAAAUCCUCUGGAAUUUGGUAGGAGAUAUACAUUUACAUAUUUAUGGACUCAGCAAUAUGUUUUUCAUUGUUUAAAGAGUAUUCUGUAUAUUGUGGAUAUUUUCAUAGCCUCAGAUUAUGUGAGGCAACUUCAGGAGUAAAUGGGGUCUUAGAAGAGUGAGAUAAUCGAACAGAAAAAAAAACUGAAAAAUACUGAGGACUCUCUUACAGGAUAUGUUCUCAGAUGCUCAGUCAUGUCCAACUCUUAGCAAAUCCCAUGGACUAUAGUCUGCUAGGCUCUUUUGUCCAUGGGAUUCUCCCAGCAAGAAUACUGGAGUGGGAUGCCAUUUUCUCCUUCAGGGGAUCUUCCUGACCCUGGGACUGAACCAGCAUCUCUUAUGUCUCCUGCUUUGGCACAUGAGCUCUUUACCACUAGCGCCACCUGGGAAGCCCUUGUGUGGUAUAUGAUUUGCAAAUUUUUCUUCCAUUAUGUGGGCUACAGUUUUACUCUAUUGAUAUUGUCUUUCAGUGCAUAUAAAUAUUUUCUUCUAAGAGUUUUAUUAUAAUUUUAGGACUUACAUUUAGGUAUUUGAUUAUAUUAAGUUAAUUUUUUAAUGUGUUGUGCGGUAAGGAUACAAUUCCAUUCUUUUGCAUUUAGAUACCCAGUUUUCCCAGCACCAUUUGUUAAAAAGACUCUCAAGAUUCCAUGUGAAUUUUCUAUAUCUAUUUCUGAAAAAAAAUCACUGAGACUUUUGUAGAAACUGCAUUGAAUCUGUAGGUCACUUUGGGUAGUAUUGACAUCUUAACAAUAUUGUCUUCCAAUCCAAGAACAUGGGAUGUAGUUCCAUGUAGUUGUCUUUCUUAAUUUCUUUUAUAGAAAAUUGUACUUUUCAUUGUACAAGUCAUUCAUACCCUUGUGUAAGUUAAUUUCCAAGUAUUUUCUUAUUUUUGAUGCUAUUGUUCAUGAAAUUAAAUUCUUAAUUUCCUUUUUAAA